GCAUGUAGGUGGUUCAUUAAGUCAGAUGUGAAAGCCCGGGGCUCAACCUCGGAACUGCAUUUGAAACUGGUGAACUAGAGUACUGUAGAGGGGGGUAGAAUUUCAGGUGUAGCGGUGAAAUGCGUAGAGAUCUGAAGGAAUACCAGUGGCGAAGGCGGCCCCCUGGACAGAUACUGACACUCAGAUGCGAAAGCGUGGGGAGCAAACAGGAUUAGAUACCCUGGUAGUCCACGCCGUAAACGAUGUCUACUUGGAGGUUGUGGCCUUGAGCCGUGGCUUUCGGAGCUAACGCGUUAAGUAGACCGCCUGGGGAGUACGGUCGCAAGAUUAAAACUCAAAUGAAUUGACGGGGGCCCGCACAAGCGGUGGAGCAUGUGGUUUAAUUCGAUGCAACGCGAAGAACCUUACCUACUCUUGACAUCCAGAGAAGCCAGCGGAGACGCAGGUGUGCCUUCGGGAGCUCUGAGACAGGUGCUGCAUG
rnacentral:rRNA from 1 species